UACGUAGGUGGCAAGCGUUGUCCGGAUUUAUUGGGUUUAAAGGGAGCGUAGGCGGCCUUAUAAGUCGAGUGGUGAAAUCUCGUUGCUAACAACGAACGUGCCAUUGAUACUGUAGGGCUUGAGUACAGAUGCCGUUGGAGGAAUGUGUCAUGUAGCGGUGAAAUGCAUAGAUAAUGACACAGAACACCGAUUGCGAAGGCAGCUGACGAAACUGUACUGACGCUGAGCUCGAAAGCGUGGGGGAUCAAACAGG
rnacentral:rRNA from 1 species